AUGGAGGUCUAUCCUGAUAGGAUUUCUCCUGUAGCCACACAUUGUCAGAAAUGCUUCAUAUAGUAGCUUGUGGUCUUGCUUGCUCAUAGGACUGUUUCCUGGGCCUGUGGGAAACUAUAAGACAGUU
ensembl:snoRNA